UGCACUUAUAUAACGGUGGUGAUUCGGUAUCGAAAAGAGCGCAACGAACUCGGGCUUCUUCUGAGUAAGAAAAUCGCUGACUAGUGAUAAGGACCAGGCAUGCUGCUACAGUGGCCGGUCUCUGACUUCAGAACCAUGGACUACUCUGGUAUGUUCCCAUGUGCCCUUAUCAAAACGGAAUUACCUCCCGCGGGUACAGUACCCCUGCUUAGCGCAACUCGUAUUCGACAAUUUGAUGCGUCUGAAGACGCCCGAAAACUCACCUUUUGUGGCGGAACAUUUCCCCGAGGUUACUCACUAGUGCGGGUGGCAGGUUGCACGCUACUUGUACUCGCAGUUGCCGUGGGGUACAGUACAGUCCGAGGUCGAUUGGGUUUAAGGAGUUGAACCUGAGUGAUGUAUGGUGAUAAAAUGGAUACUGGGCCAUCACGAAGGGUCGAACACAGCAGGUGCACUUCAGCAGUUGAGACCCCUGUCGUAUGUCUGCAUUGCUGCCGGGUCUGCUCUCUGGAAUGUCUCCAGAUUAUUCGAGUCUAGCCUGCAACUAAAGCGCUCACAUGGGUUGCGACUCUUGUGGAAAGCAGGUUUUGCCGACAUUAGUCUGGGGAAAUGUAGGCAGACGUUCCACGCUGAGUUGCGUGUUGCUGCCUAUGUCAGGAGUUGCGAAUGGCUUUUUGAUUAAAACUUCUCCGGGGCUGGACCAAGGUCACAUGCACUUGUUUCAGGGCAAUGGUGAUAUGCGACUGUCUCUUUGGACGGGUGAAGUGAAGUUCGCUUUCAGAAAUUGCUUUUCGACAGCUGAAAGCGGAGAGGAAUGAGAACUCUUGAGGCACAUUUGACUGAUGCUGGUAGGGGUAUGGUACUACAAUCAGUAGAGGUUCAUCAUCUACUACACAUUACCGAACAGUACUUACUACUCGAAACCCUCCUAUCAAGUUCCAGUACAGUCGCGUAACAAAAUAAUCAGUGCUUUCUCGAGAGACUAGCCUCUGCCUACAAGUACUAUACCGCCGAGAGUUGAUUACAAGUACCAGGGCAGUACAGGGUUGAAAUAUUGAAGGAUUAUAAGUACUGUACUUGUACUUGUACACGACUUCGAUUUAGAACAUUGUCAAUGAACCUCACGCUGAGAUAACACUACCAACUUGCCGUAUCUUAUAUC
rnacentral:misc_RNA from 1 species